AUGGCGUCCACCACCAGUGGCAGCCUCCCGUCCUCUCCCUCGCUCCCGGGCACUGGGGCCGAACAAGAAUUCUCCUCCGUCGACCCCCACGGCCUCUUCCUCCCCUCAUCCCCAUCCCCCGCUAGCCUAUACUUCGACCACGACUCCACCUUUCAAGGCUUCUUGUCCACAUCCUCCCCCACGCGGGCAACAGCGACUCCACCUCACCCUGCGGCCCCGUCAAAGCCGCCCAAGAAGCGCCCCAGAGCCUCCCGCCGCCCACCCACCACCGUGCUCACCACCGACACCUCCAACUUCCGCGCCAUGGUACAGGAGUUCACCGGCUUCCCGGCGCCACCAUUUGCCGUCGGGCUGUCCCCGUUCGUCCGCCCGCGGCUCCUCGGUGGCGCCUCCGCCUACGGCUCCCCCUUCCUGGUACGCCCGUGCCCUCUCAAGUACCCGCAGCAAAACCCUGCACUGCUGUCCUCCAUCGGCACUUGCACCACCACCGGCGGCGGAGCCAACUCUCUCAUGCACGCGCUCACGCUGUUGGCGAGGAGCAACGCUAUGCCAAGUACCCCCGCUGAUGUUACGACGGCCAGAGGAUCAGGUUCUGCUGAUCAGUACGGUGGCCACCACGGCCACGGCAUGGGAGAUUUCAAUUUCAACCCGUUUGACGACUUCGAGACUGAGACUUCGGCAUCGGCGGAAGGCGACAAGGCGGCGAACGGCGACCAUGCUGGGUUCUUCUCUUCCUUAGGCGGCGCCGGAGAUAAGUACGACCAGCACUAG
rnacentral:rRNA from 1 species